GAUGAACGCUGGCGGCGUGCCUAAUACAUGCAAGUCGAGCGAACAGAUGAGGAGCUUGCUCCUCUGACGUUAGCGGCGGACGGGUGAGUAACACGUGGAUAACCUACCUAUAAGACUUGGAUAACUUCGGGAAACCGGAGCUAAUACCGGAUAAUAUAUUGAACCGCAUGGUUCAAUAGUGAAAGACGGUUUUGCUGUCACUUAUAGAUGGAUCCGCGCCGCAUUAGCUAGUUGGUAAGGUAACGGCUUACCAAGGCGACGAUGCGUAGCCGACCUGAGAGGGUGAUCGGCCACACUGGAACUGAGACACGGUCCAGACUCCUACGGGAGGCAGCAGUAGGGAAUCUUCCGCAAUGGGCGAAAGCUUGACGGAGCAACGCCGCGUGAGUGAUGAAGGUCUUCGGAUCGUAAAACUCUGUUAUUAGGGAAGAACAAAUGUGUAAGUAACUAUGCACGUCUUGACGGUACCUAAUCAGAAAGCCACGGCUAACUACGUG
rnacentral:rRNA from 1 species